rnacentral:rRNA from 1 species
GUGACCUCAAAUCAGGUAGGACUACCCGCUGAACUUAAGCAUAUCAAUAAGCGGAGGAAAAGAAACUAACAAGGAUUCCCCUAGUAACUGCGAGUGAAGCGGGAAAAGCUCAAAUUUAAAAUCUGUCAGUCUUUGGCUGUCCGAGUUGUAAUCUAGAGAAGCGUCGUCCGUGCUGGACCGUGUACAAGUCUCCUGGAAUGGAGCGUCAUAGAGGGUGAGAAUCCCGUCUUUGACACGGACUGCCAGGGCUUUGUGAUGCGCUCUCAAAGAGUCGAGUUGUUUGGGAAUGCAGCUCAAAAUGGGUGGUAAAUUCCAUCUAAAGCUAAAUAUUGGCGAGAGACCGAUAGCGAACAAGUACCGUGAGGGAAAGAUGAAAAGAACUUUGGAAAGAGAGUUAAACAGUACGUGAAAUUGCUGAAAGGGAAACGCUUGAAGUCAGUCAUGUUGUCCAGGGAUCAACCUUGCUUUUGCUUGGUGUACUUUCUGGUUGACGGGUCAGCAUCAAUUUUGACUA